rnacentral:rRNA from 1 species
UACGUAGGGGGCAAGCGUUGUCCGGAUUCAUUGGGCGUAAAGAGCGUGUAGGCGGCCAGGUAGGUCGGUUGUGAAAACUGGAGGCUCAACCUUCAGAGGUCGACCGAAACCAUCUGGCUAGAGUCCGGAAGAGGUGAGUGGAAUUCCUAGUGUAGAGGUGAAAUUCGUAGAUAUUAGGAAGAACACCAGUGGCGAAGGCGGCUCACUGGUCCGGUACUGACGCUGAGGUGCGAAAGCGUGGGGAGCAAACAGG